rnacentral:rRNA from 1 species
UACAGAGGUCUCAAGCGUUGUUCGGAUUCAUUGGGCGUAAAGGGUGCGCAGGCGGUCUGUUAAGCAGGGUGUGAAAUCCCCCGGCCCAACCGGGGAACUGCGCCCUGAACUGGCAGGCUUGAGUGAGAUAGGGGUGUGCGGAACUUCCGGUGGAGCGGUGAAAUGUGUUGAUAUCGGAAGGAACGCCAGAGGCGAAAGCGGCACACUGGGUCUCAACUGACGCUGAGGCACGAAAGCCAGGGGAGCAAACGGG